rnacentral:rRNA from 1 species
UACGGAGGGGGCUAGCGUUGUUCGGAAUUACUGGGCGUAAAGCGCACGUAGGCGGAUCAGCAAGUUAGGGGUGAAAUCCCGGGGCUCAACCCCGGAACUGCCUUUAAAACUGUUGGUCUGGAGGUCGAGAGAGGUGAGUGGAAUUCCGAGUGUAGAGGUGAAAUUCGUAGAUAUUCGGAGGAACACCAGUGGCGAAGGCGGCUCACUGGCUCGGUACUGACGCUGAGGUGCGAAAGCGUGGGGAGCAAACA